UACGUAGGUGGCAAGCGUUGUCCGGAAUUAUUGGGCGUAAAGCGCGUGCAGGCGGUCCUUUAAGUCUGAUGUGAAAGCCCACGGCUCAACCGUGGAGGGUCAUUGGAAACUGGAGGACUUGAGUACAGAAGAGAAGAGUGGAAUUCCACGUGUAGCGGUGAAAUGCGUAGAGAUGUGGAGGAACACCAGUGGCGAAGGCGGUUGCCUGGAGCUUUGCUGACGCUGAGGCGCGAAAGCGUGGGGAGCGAUCCGG
rnacentral:rRNA from 1 species